UGGCUAUGAUUUGGAGACCGCAUCAAUUACUGCUUAAACCUCUCCUAAGCUUGAUACAGUUGUUCCCCCAGAAGUUGCUUAAACUCAAAAAUUUUGUCUCUGAGUUC